UCGAACGAUUACUUUAAAAGUUCUCCAAGCACAGGCAUUUUAUUUGUUACAAAGAUUUUCUAGUAAACAUGAGCGUGAGUUUAACUGACUUUUCGGACUAAUUUGCAUAAAGUUUAACUCGUGCGGGAGCCUGUACAAAUUAUUGUUAUCUGAUCAAGAUCAAUGGAUAGUCUAUAUUAAAAGUUAUUGUAGUAGAAAGAACAGUUUAGGAUCUUCUUAAGGCAAGGCAUAUAUAAGAAGAUGGGGAGGGGGAGGGGAAGGAAAUAUUUACCUUGUCAUUUGUUCUCCCACUCCAUAGGGAAACAUUGUUCGCAUCGCUACUGAAAAUUCGCGAUCUGCGAAAUACUGUAUGCAAUCUGGAAGACACUUUGAGACAAACUGAAAUUUGCUGUAAAAUUGGCUGAGAUCGCCGCUACUUUCUAUUUAAGACGGUCAGGAUGGGGUUUAACUGAGUACUGAGAAUCGGUCAAAAUUUCAAUUGUCAACUAAGAAAUGAUACAUUUGUAACUGAUAUGUGACAUCCGAGAACUGCAAAAUUUGCUGAUGGCGGAGAAAUGGGUGGGUUGAAAUUUUCACUAAUAGUAGUUAAAUCUCAGCGACCUUUACUCAUAACUGAGGGCCUCCCAGGCGGAAGUGGGGAAGGGGGGGUGGGGGAGGUAGCAUGCUCCGUUGACCUCUUAAAGAUUGCACCUUUUCUCCCCUGUUCUCUAUGAAUAAAAUUUAAUUGUUGCCUAAAUUUUCCGUCAGAGUUCCUUUAAUAGUAAAGAUAUCACUUGUUCCCUCAAAUUGAUCCCAAAAAUAUCCUUUGUUCCCUUGAUAUAAAUGAUCGUGUUCCCUUAUUCCCCAAAACCCCUGGGAGGUCCCCAUAAUUGAGAUUUCGGCGCCCCCUUCCUCCCCCUCCUUGCACCCUAUCCAGACCCGCUAUUAAAUGAGCAUUUGUUAAGUCAGCCUUUUCUAAUUAUUACGUUAUUGUCUGUCAUUAGGUAACAAACUGUGUUACCAUGCCAGUGGAUGAAGUUCUUAUGACUGACAUGGACAGACAGACAGUACAAUAAUGGUGUUCUGUGGUCCACAGGAAAAUGGUAAGUGCAGAUAUUUACCAUGGAACAAUGGACAGGUGCUAUUAAAAAAGGAUAACUUUAAAAUGAAGGAAAUAUCAAGCAUGGAGUGGAGAAAGCUGGAAAUCAAGGAAAUCAAAUGCUUCAAAGGAAAACAAGACAACCUCAAGAUGACUUCUGCUAAUGAGGUUAGUUGAUUUAUUUACACAACAUUUGCUGCGGAUCAGGCUUAGGCUUAGGUUGUUCAAAAGCAGAAUCGCUAAUCGGGAAUACAAAAACUCUGUCUCAAAUGU